AUCUGGCUUUGCUCACCACUCAAUCCUCAUUGCUUAGAACUGCACUUGCUUGUAAUUGGAGCAUAACAAAUGACGGCAGGCUGAGUGAAAAGCUUGACAUUUUGUAGGACUCCACAUAAGGUGACUCAGAUGGUCUGAGUGUCUGUAUGGAGAUUGUUGUUGUUCAGUCACCCAGUCGUGUCUGACUCUUUGCAACCCCAUGGACUGCAGCACGCCAGACCUCCAUGUCCCUCACCAUCUCCCGAAGUUUGCCAAGUUCUUGUCCAUUGCAUUGGUGAUGCCAUCCAGCCAUCUCAUCCUCUGACGCCCUCUUCUCCUUCUGCCCUCAAUCUUUCCCAGCAUCAGGGACUUUUCCAAUGAGACGGCUGUUCGAAUCAGAUGACCAAAAUACUUCAGCUUCAGCGUCAGUUUUUCCAACAAGUAUUUAGGGUUGAUUUCCCUUAAGAUUGACUGGUUUGAUCUCCUUGCUGUCCUAGGGACUGUCAGGAGUCUUCAGCAUCACAGUUUGAAGGUAUCAAU
ensembl:lncRNA